ensembl:ncRNA C09H10.15 ncRNA
UUUGCAUGUUUCGGAACGAAGCGUCAAAGCAAUGCAUAUGUUAACAGGGAAAAGUGGCAUGAAUACCAUGCCACCAAAACUUUGCUCCGGGAGCCCAUCUAGGAGGAAAAUAGAGGGGAUAAUUAGUUUUCAAAAGCAGCUUUUCCCUCCUCCUCCUUCCGUUCGUUCCCAUUUUAAUUGGUAUGCUCAACACGCG